rnacentral:rRNA from 1 species
UUACCCGCUGAACUUAAGCAUAUCAAUAAGCGGAGGAAAAG